CGUCAGCUCGUGUCGUGAGAGUGUUGGGUUAAGUCCCGCAACGAGCGCAACCCUUGCCUUAGUUGCCAGCAUUAAGUUGGGCACUCUAAGGAGACUGCCGGUGUUAAACCGGAGGAAGGUGGGGAUGACGUCAAGUCCUCAUGGCCCUUAUGUCCAGGGCUACACACGUGCUACAAUGGCCGGUACAAAGGGCUGCAAUACCGCAAGGUGGAGCGAACCCCAAAAAGCCGGUCUCAGUUCGGAUUGAAGUCUGCAACUCGACUUCAUGAAGUUGGAAUCGCUAGUAAUCGCGGAUCAGCAUGCCGCGGUGAAUACGUUCCCGGGCCUU
rnacentral:rRNA from 1 species